CUUCUGGAUCGUGAAAAAGAAGAUCUAGCAGAAGCUGAAGUUAUAAAGGAUUCCCCUGAUUCUCCUGAACCACCCAACAAAAAGCCUCUUAUUACAAUGGAUGAGAUGCCCACAGUGGAAAAGGCAAAAGGGCCAAUGUCCUUGCUGUCUUUAUGGAGCAACAGGAUUAAUACUGCCAAUUCUAGGAAACACCAAGAAUUUAUUGGUCGCUUGAACUCUGUCAACAACAAAGCUGAGCUGUAUCAACAUCUGAAGGAAGAAAA